rnacentral:rRNA from 1 species
GCCGGAAUUGCUAGUAAUGGCAGGUCAGCAUACUGCCGUGAAUACGUUCCCGGGCCUUGUACACACCGCCCGUCACACCAUGAGAGUUGGGAAUACCCGAAGCCUGUGAGCUAACAUUUAUGAGGCAGCAGUCGAAGGUAGAAUCAAUGAUUGGGGUGAAGUCGUAACAAGGUACC